CACGAGCGCACCCUUGUCAUUAGUUGCCAUCAGGUAAUGCGGGACACUCUGAGGAUACUGCCGGUGAUAACGGGGAGGAGGGGGGGGAUGACCUCAACUCCUCAUGCCCUUUAUGCCUGGGGCUACACACGUGCUACAAUGGGCGGUACAAAGGGUCGCAAACCCGCGAGGGGGAGCCAAUCCCAAAAAACCGGUCUCAUUGCAGAUAGUAGUCUGCAUCUCGACUGCAUGAAGGGGGAAUCGCUAGUAAUCGCAAAUCAGAACGCCGGGGAGAAUACUUUCCCGGGCCUUGUACACACCCCCC
rnacentral:rRNA from 1 species